rnacentral:rRNA from 1 species
GAUGAACGCUGGCGGCGUGCCUAAUACAUGCAAGUCGAACGGACAGACGCGGAUCUUGCGCCGCUGUCGUGUGCGGAACGGGUGAGUAAAACACGUGUAAACCGUCCCUGUCAGAGGGGUAUAACUUCGAAAAACGGGAUCUAACACCGUAGAAUAUCUUGAACCGCGGGGUGCAUUGGUAAAAUUCGGCUGUUGGGUCAGUUAUAGAUGGAUCCGCGCCUCAUUAGGUGGUUGGUAAGUUAAAGGCUUACCAAGGCAACGAUGCGUGAGCGACCGGAGGGGGUGAUCGGCGACCUUGGAACGUAGACACGGACCAGACUCCUACGGGAGGCAGCAGUAGGGAACCUUACGCAAUGGGCGAAAGCAUGACGGAGCAACGCCGCGUGAGUGACGAAGGUCUUCGGAUCGUAAAACUCUGUUAUUAGGGAAGAACAACUUUGUACGUAACUAUGCAGGUCUUGACGGUAACUAAUCAGAAAGCAACGGCUAACUACGUG